rnacentral:tRNA from 1 species
AAGGCUUUAGCUUAAUUAAAGCAUCUGUUUUGCAUGCAGAAGAUGUGGGGUAGUGUCCUGCAAGUCUUA